rnacentral:rRNA from 1 species
UGUCCCCCAAAUAGGGACCCGUAUGAAAGGUUACAUGAGAAAGAAACUGUCUCCUUAGGUUGGUCGAUGAAACUGAUCCAUCAGUACAAAAGCUGAUAUAAAAAAAUAGGACGAAAAGACCCUGUGAAACUUCAAACCUAAUCAAACCACCACCCUUGACCAAGGUCUUAAGUUGGGGCAACUAUGGAGAAACUAAACCUCCACCACACUGCCAAGUCCAACAAGACAAAGCAAACUAACUAAUAAUCGACCCAGUACAACUGACCAAAGAACCAAGCUACUCCAGGGAUAACAGCGCCAUACUCUUCAAGAGUCCAUAUCAACAAGAGUACCUACGACCUCGAUGUUGGAUCAGGGUAACCUGACGGUGAAAAAGCUGUCAAAGGUUCGUUUGUUCAACGAUCAAAAC